CUGCCUUGGGACGAAGGCAAGGCAUAUCAUCACCUUCUCGGCAUGAUUUGUGAUGAGCAGGAAUUAGUAAUCGAGCUACAUUGGUGUACACAUCUUCUUGCUUGCUUGUCUUCUCCUGUGAUGCUACAUUGGUGUGUUUGUUGUGCUGCUGCUCGACUCUGCCGGCUCCGCUCCAUACACCUUUGCCGGAGCAUUGUGUGGGUUGGUCGGGCUGGGUUCAUGGACUGCAUCCUCGGGGACCGCCACCAUCAGGCAUGCGGAUACGGUGAGGUUGAGGUCUAUCACGAUGGGGAAGCUGGCUCCCGCCCGCUGCUGCCACGUCGGCCAUCGCCCGCCGCCGCUCUGACUCCCGCUUGCCGUCACCGCCCCUGCCCGCAGAUUGCGCUAUGAGAGACAAGGUGAAGAGAAACGGGGAGAUAAAGAGAGAGAAGGGAGAGAGAGAGAGAGGGAGGGGGAAGAAGAGAGAGUGUGAAUGACGUGUGGUCCACAAUAUUUUGCUAGAUAUCUGUCAUCAAAUUUCUCCCCCUGAUAUUUGUCGUUUUUCUGACCGUUGGAUUUGCGCUACGAUGCGUGCAAGGAUUGGUUUGGAUCAGGUCGCGUGAGAGUCAAAGCCUGGUCUCGCGGAGUUGUCAAAUUUCGAUUUCCGCGCCGUGUUCAUAGACGUUUUCAUUUUCUUCUCGCUACUUAUCUCUUUCUCCUCGUUGUCUCCACGCUCUCGCUCUCUCUCUCUCUCGUUCUCUCUUUUUUUUUCUCUUUCAUUGUUUUCUCCGUCGAUAGAGAAGAGAGAGAGAGCCAUCUCGCCGCGGCGAGAGAGAGGGGGCUCGCCGGCGGGAGAGAGGGGGCUCGCCGACGGGAGAGAUCUGGCUUGCCGGCGAGCACGAGAGAGAGGUAACGAGAUCCUGGAACUGAAAAAGAAAGCAUAAUUAAUUAGUCAAAAUCAGUAUGUAAUUUUUGACAAAUAUCAGAGAUGGUGCAUAAUAAUAGCAACUGGAGAAAAUUGAAGUUUUCAUGAGAAACUACAGUGUUAUGUUUGGUGCUGUUCAGGAAGAAGCUGAGUUUCAUGGUGUCAUUUCAAGCUCAACAUAUGAGAUGUGCUCCUCAUUUGAUCAAAUUGGUUGUUAAAGGUUUUAUAGCAAAUAUCACUGAUUGAAUGAGCUUGUAAACUUGUUUUUUUUGCCAAUUUUUGUGAGAUUCCAUUUUGUUCUCUCUGUGCACACAUGGCUUCCCUCUGCACACAUGGCACAAUACAAAAUUUUUAAUGAAGUUCUGAGUUAGUAAUGGCCUAGUUUUGUACUGUGCAUAUGCACUGAAGAAAUAGUGCUGAGUUAGUGACUUGAGACUGAAGUGUGCAGUCUGUGUUCUUCAGAUAUGAUGCGGUUUUUCUGAAGAAUGUAAUUCUUUUACUUCUGGGUUUACUGCUCGAAUGUGAACUUAUGAUUCAUCUUGCUUUCGAAAUUUGAAGCUGUAAUUUUUGCAUUUUAUGUUCUUGGUAGGAGGUAAUUGGAUUGGGCGUGGGAUUCACUGAAGAUUUCAUUAUUUUGACUUUGAUUUAUCUGAAGAAAUAUAUUGUUGCUUCGGUGAUUUGAGACUGUAAAUCUGUAAUAUGCAUUUUGUUUUCUUGUUUGGAAGAUGUAACCGGAUUGGGUUUGGAAUUCACUGAAGAUUUCACAUAUUCUCUAUCACUUAUGGUGUACAGUGUGCUAUCUAAAAGUUGUGUAUCAUUUCCUAGCUAAUUGUAACCAUGAAGUUGUCUAUUUAAAUAAUGUAGGGUGCAAGCUUGUUGUAUUUUUACUCAGAAGAAUUUUUGAGUUCUCAAUAAUUUGAGCAGAUCUGGACUUUGUUCUUAUCUAGAAACUGAAGAACAUGUUGACUACUUUUGUUCUCGUUGAAAUAAUAAACAGUGAGGUGUGUGAGAUUUAGGAUGAAGGC